rnacentral:rRNA from 1 species
GACGAACGCUGGCGGCGUGCUUAACACAUGCAAGUCGAACGGAAAGGCCCUGCUUUUGUGGGGUGCUCGAGUGGCGAACGGGUGAGUAACACGUGAGUAACCUGCCCUUGACUUUGGGAUAACUUCAGGAAACUGGGGCUAAUACCGGAUAGGAGCUCCUGCUGCAUGGUGGGGGUUGGAAAGUUUCGGCGGUUGGGGAUGGACUCGCGGCUUAUCAGCUUGUUGGUGGGGUAGUGACUUACCAAGGCUUUGACGGGUAGCCGGCCUGAGAGGGUGAGCGGCCACAUUGGGACUGAGAUACGGCCCAGACUCCUACGGGAGGCAGCAGUGGGGAAUAUUGCACAAUGGGCGGAAGCCUGAUGCAGCAACGCCGCGUGCGGGAUGACGGCCUUCGGGUUGUAAACCGCUUUCGCCUGUGACGAAGCGUGAGUGACGGUAAUGGGUAAAGAAGCACCGGCUAACUACGUG